rnacentral:pre_miRNA from 2 species
CAGCUGUGGGCUUAGGAAGCAGAGCCUGGGGCAUCUCCACCAUGGCCUGGACCCCUCUCCUCCUCCAGCUUCUCACCCUCUGCUCAGGUGA